UUUGGAUGUACUGAAUCACUAGAACCAGUUCACUAAAAAGAUUUGUUCACCAAAUCACUGAAUCAUUUUGUUGGAGAAGUCUGCGACUCUGACCUCCUGAACUGAUACACAGCUGAACGUUUCAGAAUUCGGUUCAAUUCAUAGCUUCUGGGACCAGGACACAAGAGUGUUUGUCUGUGUUGCUUUGGCAAACAGGUUUGUAAAAAUGAACUUGUUUAUGAGGCAAGAUUUUUUAAAUGUACUGCCCUAUGGUAUGCUAUUUAUUAGGUCUGCUCAGUAAAUUGGGGUCAGUGAGUUGAAUUGAACUGUUUUUUAUUAAAUGUGAAUUUUGUUUAACUGAAAAAAGAUAACUGGUCUAACUUAAAAGGAACUUUUUGAUAUUUCAGUGCAUUUAAAUUGAAAUUUGAUUGAUAUAUUUUAUUUGCAUUUCAAAAUUUUGCUUUAUUUUUAAUGUAUUUUCCUGGUAUUCUAUCAAGUAUUUUGAGUUUUUCAAUACAGUUGGUAUAAGUCACAUUUUUCAUUUGUGUCUAUUAAUUUCUACCCAGCUCCAGAGCCAAACCACUAGCCCAAAUCUUACCUUGUGUUAUAUGUAUAAUCAUUUAUAAUUUAAAUUUAAAAUUCAUAAAGCAUUAUCUAAUAUAUCAUAAUAUAAAUAUAGUAUAUAUUUCAUAAGUGUUACAUAAAUUGGCAAGCUAGCCAGGAGCUGGUUUUGAAAAUUAAUAGACAUAUUACGUGUCAAUCAUGGAAACUGUGAUGCAAGAGUCCAUAAACGUGCCAAACUCAGUGAAGUACUUAGAAAAGUACCAAGUACUUGGUUUCAUUAAUAGGGUUUUGCACAUUGAUAAUCCCAAGUCUGAGCAUCAUGGAAGUGCAAUCGUAGAGUUUAAUUUUGGUACUGCAAUGUAGUCACUUUCAUCUUUACUGCCUUUUCCAUAGUCUAUCUAAACUAGAUAUCACCUUCAAGAAUGUUCAUUAGCUGGUACUUACAGUCCACUUGCUUGCACAAGGGCCACCAAGAGCUGCAUUGAAGAAUUGCAGGCAAUCUCCAAGUUAACAGAAAAACCCCUAGAGACUUUGCUUCAAGAGGAACUUGCAAAGCUAACUGUUAUAACCCCUUCCUCCAUGGAGUCAAAAGCUGAUCUCAAACAGGAAAAAACAUCUCCCAAUAAAACCUGAAAUAAAACUUCCAGUGCCAGACCCUCAAAUUCAACCUCAACCAAACAAACCCCAAAAAAGUCUGACCACUGACUUUGCUUCUUUCUUUGUGCUUCCUACCACAGAAAAAUGUCCUUUUACUCUCCCAGGAGAUGCAGUUAGCCCACUUGAGAUCCAGAAAGUUGUUAUAGAGCACAUUGUCAAGACUGAUAAUGCUAUGUCCCAUGUCUAUGGCUUCUCCCGCCUUAGAGCUUUUCUGGAAAAAUCACACGUCAGUUAUGAAACUGAUUAUGAUACCUGGAGAACCAAUGUGGAUUUGUUUCUCACUGAUCCUUCUGUGUCCGAUUUGGAGUGUUCACGGCAGAUUGUAUAUAGUCUGAUGUCACCUUCUGCACCUGAUGUCUUCAAACAACUUGGUCCCCAAGCUUUGCCCAAAGCUUACCUUGAGCUUUAGACUCAGCAUACGGUACUGUAGAAGAUGGAGAUGAGUGUUUUGCAAAAUUUGAACACUUUUCAGAAUUCUGGUGAAGAACCUUCAGAUUAUUUGCAUCGUCUUCAAGUUGUUUUGAAUGCUGGGGCAGUGCUCUCAUCAGUGACCUCCAGCUAGAGCAGAGAAGAGACAACCUCCCUACCCUCGCAGAUCUUCUUCUCUUGCUUCAAGUUGAUGAAGAUAAGCAAGCAGCUAAAGCCUGUCAUAUGAAAAAAAAAAAAAGUAUAUAUACAAAACCCAAUUCCAUUAAAGUUGGGAAAUUCUGAAACAUAAAUAAAAACAGAAUACAAUGAUUUGCAAAUCCUUUUCAACCUUUAUUUAAUUGAAUACACUACACUAUUUUUUUGCAAAUAAUAAUUAACUCAGAAUUUCAUAGCUGCAACACGUGCCAACGAAGUUGGGAAAGGUGGCAAAAAAUACUGAGAAAUUUGAGGAAUGCUCAUCAAACACCUAUUUGGAACAUCCCACAGGUGAGCAGGCUAAUUGGGAAUUCCCCCAAAUUCUCAGUCAUUUACAAGCAAGGAUGGGGCAAGGUUCACCACUCUGUGAACAACAGUUUAAGAACAACGUUUCUCAAAGUACAAUUGCAAGGAAUUUAGGGAUUUUAACAUCUACUGUCCAUAACAUCAUCAAAAGGUUCAGAGAAUCUGGAGAAAUCACUGCCAUAGACCGUAUAUAGAAUGGACAGCAUCUGCCUCCUUGCUGGGUGAAGCCACUCUGAGAACAGCACCCUCUGUUGAUGGGCUGCAGUAUAAAUCCCGCCUCCGCCAGCAAAGCUUAUGGGACUGUGGACAAACUUUAGAAAUUUAUUACACAGAAUAUACAUUUUUCUCCCCCCUGCUUGUGAUGUUCACAUGUAAUUAUUGUAAGACUGGUUUGUGCUCAAGUCCUCUUUUUUUCUUUGAAGCUCAGUUUUUAAAGGUUAUUAGGGGGUUCAUGUUUUCUAUGAUUGACACCUGAUACAGCCUAUGGGCGUUCAGGAAUUGCGUAGCUCACCCAGGGGAUACGCUGUUUGAGCCGAGCGUCAUCACAGCGACUCUCGGCGACUCUCCUGCCGAAUGUGCUACUGCGCAGCGCUGGUUUCAGGAAAUGAAGAAAAAUCACGGAAAUACAGAGAGCUUUUUGGCUUCAAAUCCGUAUACAGGCGGUAGGCAGAACCAAGUUGUCCAUAGUAUAUACAGUUUAUGAUCAGUUCAUAACUGAUGCAAAGUGGAAAAGUGUUCUGUGGUCUGACGAGUCCAUAUUUCAAAUUGUUUUUGGAAAUAGUGGACGUCGUGUCCUCCAGGCCAAAGAGGAAAAGAACCAUCCGGACUGUUAUUGACACAAAGUUCAAAAGCCAGCAUCUGUGAUGGUAUGGGGGUGUAUUAGUGCCCAAGGCAUGAGUAACUCACACAUCUGUGAAGGCAACAUUAAUGCUGAAAGGUACAUACAGGUUUUGGAGCAACAUAUGCUGCCAUCCAAGCAACGUCUUCUUCAUCGAUGCCCCUGCUUAUUUCAGAGAGACAAUGCCAAGCCACAUUCUGCAUAUGUUACAACAGUGUGGGUUUUUAGUAAAAGAGUGCGGGUACUCGACUAGUCUGCCUGCAGUCCAGACCUGUCUGCCAUUGAAAAUGUGUGGCGCAUUAUAAAGCAUAAAAUACGACGACAGAAACCCCGGACUGUUGAACAACUGAAGCUGUACAUCAAGCAAGAAUGGGAAAGAAUUCCACCUUCAAAGCUUCAACAAUUAGUCUCCUCAGUUCUUAAACGUUUAUUGAGUGUUGCUAAAAAGAAAGGUGAUGUAACUCAGUGGUAAACAUGCCCCUGACCCAACUACUUUGGCACUUGUUGCAGCCAUGAUAUUAAUUAUUAUUUGCAAAAAAAAAAAAAAAAAAAAGAGAUUUAUGAGCUUGAAAAUUCAAUAUCUUGUCUUUGGAGUAUAUUCGAUUGAAUAUAGGUUGAAAAGGAUUUGAAAAUCAUUGUAUUCUAUUUCCAUUUCCAUCUAAUACAUUUACAUAUAUACAGUAUAUAUAUUGAUCGGUGAGAUAAGAACAAAACCAUUUAAAAACAGUACCAGAGAGGUCUACAAGGUGCCAAAGUCUAUUUACUAAAUGAGAUGGUCUACUGUGUGAGAAGCGGCGCUUACAUCCAGUAGAACCAACACUGUGAUCUUUUUGGUAUCUAAUGUUUUGCAUGACCAUGCGUAUUUGUGUCAGUUCGUCUCUGACUGAUCUAAUUGCCUUCAUGGUGUCCCUCUGUGUCUGAAGGACUCUAUUGGUGAGGACCCACCGCUAGGGGCAGGUGGGCCUGCAGUCAGUGUGCCAGACAUACUGGGAACCUCCUCCACCUACGCCUCACCCACCGCUCCCUCACUGACUGGCUAAACUCACAGGAUCCAGAACGG